rnacentral:rRNA from 1 species
UACAGAGGGUGCGAGCGUUGUCCGGAAUCACUGGGCGUAAAGGGCGCGUAGGUGGUGGCUUAAGCGUGCGGUGAAAGCUCGGGGCUCAACUCCGAGUCGGCCGUGCGAACUGGGCUCACUGGAGCAUAGUAGAGGCAGGUGGAAUUCCGGGUGUAGCGGUGGAAUGCGUAGAUAUCUGGAGGAACACCGGUGGCGAAGGCGGCGUCCUGGACCAACACUGACACUGAAAAGCGAAAGCCAGGGGAGCAAACGGG